rnacentral:lncRNA from 1 species
CUGCCAAUGACUGGAACGAAUUGCAAAAUUGCUGAAGCUGGAGACUUAUAUUUCCCUCACUAACUUUAAACAUCAGCUAUCUGAGCAGCUAACCGAUCGCUGCAGCUGUACAUAGCCCAUCUGUAAAUAGCCCACCCAAUCUACCUACCUCAUCCCCAUAUUGUUUUAUUUACUUUUCUGCUCUUUUGCACACCAGUAUUGCUAUUUGUGUAUCACCAUCUGCUCAUCUAUCACCCCAGUGUUAAUUUGAUAAAUUGUUGUUUUGCACACACUGUAUAUAGACUUUUUUUUCUAUUGUGUUAUUGACUGUACGCUUGUUUAUUCCAUGUGUAACUCUGUUGUUAUUUGUGUCGCACUGCUCUGCUUUGCUUGUUCUCAACUAGCUUACGUGGUGAAAUAAUACAAAAUAAAUCUCCCUCCUACCUCCCUUGGUCUGCAGCCUCGACUCCCAUGGGAGAGUCAUGUGUUCCCGCUGUGUGAGCAUGAGGCUCUAAUGUGUCAUGAAGAGGAGCAGCAGGAGCCUCGCUGGGAGGAGAGAGAGAAGGAAGAUUCCACCAGCAGCACAGAUGACAGCUGCAGCUCUGUCCAGUCACCCCCAUUCUCAGCCCUGUCUUCAGCCCUGUCCAGUACAUCACCACCACCAGCUGGAGACGAUGAGAACAACACACUUACUGCAGUCACCUGAAACGACUUGGCUCUACCAUGGCACAGGUUUGUUCUACUACACCCAGAUUGUCCCAGCCCAGCUACCGCGCUUCAUCUGGGUGAAGAGGAACAUCAAAAUCAUAAUCUACUGGGGCCAUCAUCAUCUACCUCCAAGCCAUAUGACUGCUAAAUAGUUAUAUGUUUAACUUUUCUAUUAUUUCUCAGUUUUCUUUCUCUUUGCAUUGUUGGGAAGGACCCAUAAGUACACCUCUUGUUUAGGAAUCGUGAUGAAUACAUUUUGGUUUUAUUUUAUUUUAUUACACAAAGGAGGCAUGUCUUUGUCAUGAAAGGGAGCGGCAGCACCUUCUCCUCUCUCCGCCUGCACAGUCAGAUGAGGGUCACCAUCACUGGAAUCCUGCAGGGAAUUCUCUACUUCCUUUGUGCUCUGUAGAUCGUCGCUGAUUUCAUCAGCUCCGAAAUGUCAAAUUGAACAGACUUUGACAAUAAUUUGAAUAUUUUCCACACGGUCGUCUCUCUCUACAUGCUUGUCACCACUGUAAACCUGGGUAUCGGUCAGUCUGUUUUCAGACAGAGGGCAGCUGAUAUUUGGCUCAAAGCCCAAUAAGCUGUAAGGUCAUUGAAGUUGUGUGGAUAAAGGAUGAAACAAUCGUAGUUGUAAGACAUAGGCUAAGGGUUAAAUCUGUGAUUUUGUAUGUCUGUGAAAUUAAAUGUUUAGUUCUUGGUUUUUCUGCCAAUUCUCACAUAGAAACUUAAUUGGGAGGAAGGAUAUUUUAUAUGUAUUUGUAUGGCUAACCAUUUUUGAGAAAAUCAUUAUGAAAGUGGCCAUUUCAUGCCUUUUUUGGACCAAUACAUGUCUCCUGUGAGACCCUAUGAUUACUGAACCGUACAGGACACAGACACCAUCUUGAUGUCAUUAUACAGCUUAUAAUGUGCUCUAAAAUAUGGAGCAUCACUAGGUUCUGAAAUACAGUUUUUCACAUACAUGUAUUUAUUUUGUUCAUUUUAAGACAUUGUUUGUAACAGUAUACUCUACUAGUACAUCCAAUUUACAAAGUGGGUGCUAUAAUACUUUUUAAGUUAUGAUCUAUUUUAUGAGCACCACCAAUACAGUGAAUGGGAUAAUGGAAUCAGAGGGAACUCCCUCUGCUGGUGAUUUGCAGAAUGUGAUUGUUUAAUAACCUAUAAUGUACAUUUCUAUCUAUAAAAUGGCUCAUAAUGUCAAAGGUAGCAGAGCACCCACUCUGGAAAUGUCACAUGUUUGACCAGUAUAUUGUUCCAAACAAUAUGUCAAAAAUUAAGCUAAAUCAAAAUGACUGUAUCAUAUGUGGUUCAUGGAUGAUAGCUUCUCACAAGAGGCAUGUAUCGGUCUAAAAAGGACCUAAUAUAGCCACUUUCAUCAUGAUAAAAAAAAAAAAGGUUUCUGAUACAAAUUUUGAAAAGCAUAUCAAACACCCUUCCCCCGAAUUAGAUUUCUAUGUGAGAAAUGCCUGAACAAUCUGAGAUACCCAAAACAUUUUUGGGCAUUCCUGGCGUGGAUUGGCCCAUUUAUUUAAUCUGGGUCUGUGAAAUUGGUCCAUUAAGUAGGUUUUAAUGUGAUAACCAUGCUUUCUCUUUUACAAAUGAGUCAUUCUAUAAAAUAAAUAAAUCUAUCUAUUUAAAUAGUUCAUAAUAGCAAAAAGGCACCUCAGGGGUUUGUGGUAAAUGGCCAAUAUACCAUGGCUAAGGGUUGUAUCCACGCACUCUACCGUUGCAUCGUGCUUAAGAACAGCCCUUAGCCAUGGUAUAUUGGCCAUAUACCACACCCCCUCGAGCUUUAUUGCUUAAUUAUAUAAUGGCAUUGUUGAAUACUCAAUUCUGAUAGGCUAUAGGCUAGAAGGGCAUUCCAGAGCGUGCAUUAUUUCCCUUUAAUGCAUGGUAUAAUUCAGUGACUAUGGAGUUCAUUCUUACAUUGUUCUAUGUUUGAGCUGCUUUUGAAACCAAAAGUCAAAUUGCAAACAUUAUUAAUUUGAACUUAAAAAAGUGUGUGACUUUAAAUGUGGGAAAUUGUGCUUUUG